UACGUAGGGACCAAGCGUUGUUCGGAUUUACUGGGCGUAAAGGGCGCGUAGGCGGCAAUUCAAGUCAUCUGUGAAAUCUCCGGGCUUAACCCGGAACGGUCAGAUGAUACUGCUUUGCUAGAGUGCGGAAGGGGCAAUCGGAAUUCUUGGUGUAGCGGUGAAAUGCGCGGAUAUCAGGAGGAACACCGGUGGCGAAGGCGGGUCUCUGGGCCGAAAUUGACGCUGAGGAGCGAAAGCGUGGGGAGCAAACAGG
rnacentral:rRNA from 1 species